AGCCUUUCUCUUCAUCUCAAUUCAAACAACACAAAUUUGACAAAGAAAUUAACGCAGCUAGCUACUUGAUCAAAGAAACCUCUCCUUGAUCUAGUAGUGCGAGCUAGCUAGCUAUAAAUUCGCAGUAGAACGCAGCCAGUGUGUAGCUAGCAUGGACAGCAACAACAAGAACCUGCAACCACCACCAGGCUACCCGACGGUGGAUUCAGAGCACGGCGGCCGCGGACGAACGACGGCUCGCGGGAGAAAGACCAGAUUCAUCGAUGGAUGCAUCGCCGCACUAUGCUGCUGCUGGCUGUGUGACCUUUGCUGCGAUUAGAGGAAGGGAAACAGAUGAGAUUAAAAGAUGCCUUGAUAUUAUAUGUGGAUAGUAUUUCUACAUGGGUGUGCUGAAAAGAGGAUCUUUGGAGCAGAGAAUUGAAUACAACGAAAUGUUGUUGCAGAAAGUAUACAUCCCGUAAUUUCUGCGUAUAUUUUCGAUAUAUAUAUAGCGCGGAAUAAUGAAUAAUGAUAUGCGUGAAGUAUCUAUGUAAUUCAUUAAUUACAUAGUGUGCUCGUUUUGAUUUGUAUCCAUUUUUCAGCUCAUUUAUUUUGACCCAUAUAAAAAUGUAUAGAUAAUCUGAUUCCUCAAUUGAUGAGUUAA